GGCUGGACAUCAAGAUGUUAAUCUUUUUCAGCAAGAUAACGCUCGUGCACACUCCGCACGACUCACAACUGCGUUUAUCAACAACAACCAUGUUCAGACAUUACCAUGGCCAGCUUUUUCGCCGGAUUUGAGUCCAAUAGAACACCUAUGGGAUCAAAUUGGACAAGCCGUAAGACGACGACAGCCACCACCAGUUACGCUGCGCCAACUCGAAAUUGCAUUGCGAGAAGAAUGAACAAACAUUCCACAACACCGUAUCCGACGUCUGGUCAGGUCAAUGCCACGUCGUUGUAGAGCUUGCGUUGCAGCACGCGGUGGACACAUUCGUUAUUGAGACUGUGAGUUAGUGAAUUUUAGCGUUGUGUUGCAUUAAUGUAAUGCAUUCGAAUCGUG
rnacentral:lncRNA from 1 species